GGCCCGGUAGGCUAAUGGUAGACCGCCUCGUUUACACCGAGAUGGCGGAGGUUCGAUUCCUCCUCGGGCCA
rnacentral:tRNA from 1 species